UGGGGAAUUUUGGACAAUGGGCGAAAGCCUGAUCCAGCAAUGCCGCGUGUGUGAAGAAGGCCUUCGGGUUGUAAAGCACUUUUGUCCGGAAAGAAAUCCUCUGGGUUAACACCUCGGGGGGAUGACGGUACCGGAAGAAUAAGCACCGGCUAACUACGUGCCAGCAGCCGCGGUAAUACGUAGGGUGCAAGCGUUAAUCGGAAUUACUGGGCGUAAAGCGUGCGCAGGCGGUUUUGUAAGACGGAUGUGAAAUCCCCGGGCUUAACCUGGGAACUGCAUUCGUGACUGCAUGGCUAGAGUAUGGCAGAGGGGGGUAGAAUUCCACGUGUAGCAGUGAAAUGCGUAGAGAUGUGGAGGAAUACCGAUGGCGAAGGCAGCCCCCUGGGCCAAUACUGACGCUCAUGCACGAAAGCGUGGGGAGCAAAC
rnacentral:rRNA from 1 species